AACUCUUCGAGGCCUAUUGCGGCGGGAACGAUCCUUGGCCCCUCUCUGUCGGUAUUUGUCGGCCUUCACACUAUGGUCCCCACACCAGCUGCUCUCUAUUGGCUGCCUUAAUAUUCGUGUCCAUAAAAGGGGCAGGUAAGGGCCCUGCAGCCAAGUGGCAUCUCCUCAAGGAGUUGCCACUGGGGACAGCACAAGCGAAUGUCCCACUACUUAUAAUCUUAUGCAUAUUCAGACACCGGUCUUCAUCAUCCCAGGAUAGCGAUUGGUAGCGCCUGUUCUAAGACGGUGGAGUCUCCUUGUAAAUAGGCUGUCUGAGGCCGAUUCUUACAUCCUUUAGCUCAGAACCUUGUGCUCAACUGACUCCUCUCAGUCACUUCCUGGCCUCACAACCUCUGGUACAUGAUGGGUUGUCACUUUUCUUCUAAACGUGGAGCCGAGGAACCUAGGACAAUUUCUUUAAAGAAGGUCUGCACAGAACAAAGUGGGGUGGAGCUUGCUUCAUGGAGAAAGGGACCUUUAUUGAUUUCAACUAGAAGUGAAAAAUCAUGCUUUAUAGCCAAUCUCUCUAAAAUGCUCCUGCAAUCUCUUGGAACAACAGUGGGAAGGAAGGCCAGGCCCUACUUAAGCCUGAGAUCAAGAGCUGGGGUACCGCCCACCUCCAAGCCCUUCCCUUUGCUUUAGUGACUUUGAGAGCCAGAACAGUUGUGACUUGGUCUAGUCCUUGUUGAGAACCCUAGACAGGUCCCUCUCCAACUAUUUAGAGCUAUUUUCUGCCAGCUCCGUUUUCUGGACAGGCCUCCCCUUCUUCCAACCAUUUAUUCCUCAAAGUCUAAUUCAUAAUGAUUAAAACACACUAACACACACACAGUAACAAAAAACAAAACAAAACAAAACAAACAAACAAACAAAAAACUGCACUGGUACAUGUCUAUACCCCAAGCACAGAGGCGGCUGAGGCAGAAAGGUCACAUGAGCCUAGGAAUUGGAGGCCAGUGGGUACUAUAACAAUAUUCCUGGGGCUGGAGAGAUGGCUCAGUGGUUAAGAGCACUGACUGUUCUUCCAGAGGUCCUGAAUUCAAUUCCCAGAAACCACAUGGUGGCUCACAGCCAUCUGUAAUGCCUUCUUCUGGUGUGCCUGAAGACAACUACAGUGUACUCACAUACAUAAAAUAAAUAAAAUC
rnacentral:lncRNA from 1 species